UCCGACCGCACAAUAACUAUUUAACCAAUUAUCCAAAACAAUUAUUCAUCCCCACCUAUUUAACUAUUUGUCCCCACCAGAGACAAGUUGCGGUUUCAAGCACCGCCUUUUUAAGCGUUUGUUUCUAACUGCUCAAUUUUGGAAGUGAACUUUGCAAAACUCCCGCUCCGCCGUCCGCUUCUGUCGUCGGCUCCGGCCAACGCGCCACCGAUAUCACACUCCCCCUUCAGUAACCGCCGCCCGUUCACGCUCCACUAACCUCUGAACCGUGAGUACAUAACUUUGGAAAACUCCCGCCUGUUAUCUCACUUUCUUAAACGUAAACAUUUGGCAGCCACCGGACUAAAA
rnacentral:lncRNA from 1 species